rnacentral:misc_RNA from 1 species
CUGAGAUAGGGUUCGCUCGAGCCCGACCUCCAACCCUUUGCUUAAACUACCUUGUUGCUUUGGCAGGCCCGUCUUCGGACCGCUGGGGACGUUCAGUCGUCUCUGGCCAGUGCCGGCCAGUAGCCAAUUCAAACUCUCUUUUAACCAUGUUGUCUGAAAUUCAUAACAAAUUUAAUUA